GUGAGUCAUCGAAUCUUUGAACGCACAUUGCGCCCGCCAGUAUUCUGGCGGGCAUGCCUGUCCGAGCGUCAUUUCAACCCUCGAACCCCUCCGGGGGGUCGGCGUUGGGGAUCGGCCCUUUACGGGGCCGGCCCCGAAAUACAGUGGCGGUCUCGCCGCAGCCUCUCCUGCGCAGUAGUUUGCACACUCGCAUCGGGAGCGCGGCGCGUCCAUUGCCGUAAAACACCCAACUUUCUGAAAUGUUGACCUCGGAUCAGGUAGGAAUACCCGCUGAACUUAAGCAUAUCAAUAAGCGGAGGA
rnacentral:misc_RNA from 1 species